rnacentral:rRNA from 1 species
UGGUCAAGUUAUUAAGGGUGCAGGGCGGAUGCCUUGGCACUAGGAGCCGAUGAAGGACGUGAUAAGCUGCGAUAAGCUUCGGGGAGUUGCACGUAAACUUUGAUCCGAAGAUUUCCGAAUGAGGAAACUCACUUAGAGUAAUGUCUAAGUAUCAUUAAGUGAAUACAUAGCUUAAUGAGGGGAACUCAGGGAACUGAAACAGCUAAGUACCUGAAGGAAGAGAAAGAAAUUCGAUUCCGUAAGUAGCGGCGAGCGAACGCGGAUUAGCCCAAACCAAUAAAGUUUUCUUUAUUGGGGUUGCGGACAUAUCAUAACGAAGAGGUAUCGUA